AUUACGAUAGCAAUAGCCCCUUCGGCCGGGGUUAUCGCACUCACCCUUUGUCUACAAGUACCAUCUUGUUGUUUCGUCUCGGCAGGCUUGCCUGCCGCCAGGAACCUCUUAACUCUUUGUAUUUAAAGUAUUCAAUCUCUGAUAACUAUUUAAAAUUUCA
rnacentral:misc_RNA from 1 species